GGAGGGAUGCCCGAGUGGCUAAAGGGGCGGACUGUAAAUCCGCUGGCGUACGCCUACGUUGGUUCGAAUCCAACUCCCUCCACCA
rnacentral:tRNA from 1 species